rnacentral:rRNA from 1 species
UACGUAGGGUCCGAGCGUUGUCCGGAAUUAUUGGGCGUAAAGAGCUCGUAGGCGGUUUGUCGCGUCUGCUGUGAAAUCCCGAGGCUCAACCUCGGGCCUGCAGUGGGUACGGGCAGACUGGAGUGCGGUAGGGGAGAAUGGAAUUCCCGGUGUAGCGGUGAAAUGCGCAGAUAUCGGGAAGAACACCCGUGGCGAAGGCGGUUCUCUGGGACGGUACUGACGCUGAGACGCGAAAGCGUGGGGAGCGAACAGG